CAUUUUUUGAAGUAGGGCCUACUGUAUUAGUUGCUGUAUGUUGGCUUCAUACACAGUUUACAUACUACAGAAUUUAUCAGCACUAUCAAAUAAAUGGUUUUCAAUCCAUUGAAAGGAAGUCAUGUUUGUUGCAAUAUAUCGAGUGUGGUAGACACUGGGAAAAAACCAACUAUUGAAUGUGUAUUUAUUUGUCUCCUGGUACAAAACUGAUGGAAGAGCAGCCAUGAUGAAGCAGUAAAAAAGGUUCUUGGAUACCUUGCUUCAAUACCUCUGGUUGGACAAGAAAAGACCUGGCUAAGAAUAGUAGAGGGUCAAAUAAUUUAUCACCAAGAAAGUUAUUGAUUUAAACCGAAUCCUGUAACGCGUAAGAUUCUUAAUUAUGCUAAGUGUGCAAUAUUAGGUCAGUUAAGUUAUACCUCCAUGGUUAAGACGACAGUAAUGCAUGAUAGGUAUAUUUUGAAAUCUACACAUAGUAGCUGUUUUUAUAAUUAUUACAAAAACUCUGAUUUAAACAUGCCUGUAUAGCUACGAUACAUAAUAUUUAAUGUUUUUUGCAAGUUUCAAUUAAAGAAAAAUGGUCAAGUAUAUUUUAAAC